GCCCUCGUGGCUCAAUGGAUAGAGCGUCUGGUUGCGGACCAGAAGGUUACAGGUUCAACUCCUGUCGAGGGUA
rnacentral:tRNA from 1 species